UCGAACCAGCCUACAGCAUUGCUGGUGCCUUUCCACCAGGUGCCUGGGGCUCAGAGGAAAAUGUAAAUGGAUCUUAAAAUUAUGAGACAAUUUCCCUCCCUUCCUCCCAAAUAAAAUAAUUAUAAGAGAAAGAAUUGGUAAGAACGGAUGAAGAAGGGAUUGAAGAUGGAAACAGAAAAGCAGCUUCACCCCACCAGAGCAGGGGGGACCCAGAAAGGCCUUCCACAGGCAGGAAGUUGUCCAAGCAGCUGGAAGAUGGUUUGCGUACCAGCCUCUGAGAUGUGGUUACCACCCACAGCAAGGGACUUGACCCCUUGGUCCAAAACAUCCCUCCUAAGCCUCUUCCCAUAAAACAACUUGUCUUUCUAUACACCAAAAGAAUCUCAAAGUACAUUGCACACAUUAAACUGUCAUGCUUCACACCACACUUGUAGGCAUGGUCUAUAUUCCCAUUCUACACAGAAUGAACUGGUUUGUUCCGGGUGUCACACCCAGGUUAGGACACCCAGUGCAUCCCCACUCAGCACUGCUCUGCUCACUGAGGACCCAAAUGAGAUGGGGCUGUUAGGAGCUGUGAGGCUGUUACAUGCAGACGUGAGAGGCUGCCCUGCAAGGUUCAGGAAAUACUCGUUCUGGAUGUUGUUUUAAAGUUGAGUAUACAGUCUCAGGAAACAUACCUAGAACUGGAGGUUUUAGGUUUUGGACUCCCUGCAUUUGACUGCUGUAAUUGCUGGACUAAACUCCAGUUAGCCUCCAUAAGCAGCCUCCGUUACUCUUAGAGGAAUCUAGCUGAACUGACUGUGGGAUUUCCUGUUCACCUGACUUACAAAUCCAUCACUUUCCUUCUGAAUAAAUGAACGGCACUGGCUGGUACUCACGCCUUAGAUGUAGACAGAAAAACCUAGACUCGAAUCUACUUGCUUUUCUUAUGCAAAUCUUCUCACAAGAUUAGAAGGGAAAGUAAACAGCAGCUCCAGCCUUAAGAUCUUUUUUUUCUUUUAAGAGGCAGCCUGUUGUAUAAAUCUGAAACAGAAACCGUUUCCAUUUGAAGAUCAAAUAGAAGUUAUCUACUGAAGCUGACAAACAGGGGCAGAAUAAUCUGUUUGCAUUUUUGGGAAAUGGAUAGCUCUGGUUUUGUUUCAAGACAAGUAACUUUUAAACAAUAUUUAACGAAAUAAUUGACCUUGAUGUUUAAACUACAACUUCCUUCACGUCAUUAAGCCCACUGGUUUUUUGUUGUUUUUUUUUUUUUUAAUGUUUAGUAUUUGAACUCUGGCAUUCAUUCUACUAAUCCCAUAAUAACAUUUGUUUCUAGUGGGAUUUUAUUUGAUGAACUCAUCGGUAAAAAAGGAGAGAAAGAGUUCAGAACAACACGAGCUUUACAGCUCAUUUAUAUUUUCUCCUCUCUGAAAAAAAUAGCAAAAAGACAUGUGCUAAAUGACUUUUCAGGAAUAACUUUGCAGAUGGAAGGAACAAGGAGAAGCUUUAUACAGCUUUAUAUAAAGCUUUAGGAAAAACUGUGCUCUUUUAACAUACAUUCUGACUUUCAGAAUGCACUGCAAUCCUUGACUGCAAAUAAUGAUUUGGGUAAUUUGUCUUCAUGAUAAUUAGGAUCUGAGUCUGCUUUUGAAAUGUAGGAAAAAUGGAAAUAACUCCAUAAAGUGUAUCUAUCACAUAAAGCUUUUAGGACAGCCUGAUUCACAGUGUAUCCUGCUCUUUGUUCAGCUGACAGAUUUCCAGCAGCCGAAAGAGGCACAUAUCUGGGGGCUGCCAUUAUCUAAGCUAAAUAUGUACAUUUUGGAUCAGUUCUAUUUUAUUUGAAUACUCACAACUUCUGCUGGGGGAUCAUAAGCAUGAAAGGACCGCGGAGAUGUGCAUUUUAUUAGCUAUCCAUCAGUCUUUGUGCACGGACAAAGGUACAUAAACAUACACAUUUUCUGAGCUCUCAGCUCAGCAAGACUUUAGACAGUACAUGCAGUAAGAUUUCAAAUAAAAACAAGCAAUCAAUCAAACAACAAACACACUGCCAUGCAAAAAAGCAAGCACAUAAUUUGGGGGAGGUGGGAGCACUAAAGCAAUAAAUGAACAUGUAGAAUUUAGCCUAAUUUUUAUUUGACUGUUAAUGAAAAAUAUUGUGGCAGCAAAGGAUUAUUUAAGUUACGGAAUCCUGGAAUUACAAAACACUGAUAUCUACCUAAAUGCUGAUGUGUACCCUUGCACGUAAUGUACUCAUACACAGAUAAAAGCUCUUCCUUUAUCCCCGCUGGCACAAAUUUCAUCCUUUCAAUUUGUGGACAUAUGAGGAAUCAGGUUGCUUUACUCUCAACAAAGGGCACCUAUCUACCAUUUGAAGCACUUAAAAAUAUUUGAAUUCCCUCCCCAGUGCACAAACAGCCAACUCAAAAACUAUUGCAGGCUCAGGAUCUAGAGAACGCGAUGGUGUUACGCAAUGGGUGGUGUGACGUUAUCUGGUGAUCUGAGCAGGGUCAUGCUGGUCAUGGGACAAUGCAAAUUCCAUGUCAGGCAUCAUGCUGAUACAGGUUGUCUGCAGCUUCACCCCAAUGACAAGCAACGCAGGCAGGCUUGAAUUAAGUGGCAUUUAUUUCCCAUCUCAGCUCUUGCUCCCCUACUGCAGAAUGGGUGCGUAAUUCGACCCUGAGCAGCCCUUCACUCUCCUGCCCAUCCCCUUGACCCCACACUCAUCACCAGCUGACUGACUUACAAACCACCUGCAUCUGACACAAGAUCAUCACCCACACCGGGAGAGAAGGUGUAUGUUUGUAGGAGGUGUAGCUACUGAGUAGUAUCUCUCAUCCUCAUUCUACAAUCUCGUGUUGUGGCUGGACACCAGCAAGUGAAGGGAGGAAGCACUGCCAACGCUAAUGGCAGCCUGUACAGCCUCCCCACUCAUGCUGGCAGCUCCUAUGCUCACAGAGCAAUUAAUAUAUGUGCUUAUGCCACUACUGCUUUUCACUUUUACGGGGAACUCAAGCAUGGCACCUGGGAUGGCAAUUCCUGACCACAGACGCUGCAUCAGAGUACCAACACACAGUUACUCAUAGAAACUGAUGGUCUCAUAUUUUUUCUUUUUUGCUUUGAAAUCAUGAAUUAUAAAGGAAAACACAACACAGCAUCUCUUCAGUGAACUGAGUGCUGCCCCCACUGUAAGUUAGACCAAACCCACGACCGCUAUGUUUUGUGACACGCAGCUAACGCCCAGCUGCCACGUCUUUUCCUGACAAUUGAACACAGCCUGCAACAUUCUGUCAGUGACAGGAGAUGGUAUUUCAGACAUACUGGGUAAACAUGCCUGUGCCAUCUUCUGCUACUCUGACAAUGAUUUGUGAGGAACCCACCCAGCACAUUGCCUCAGACAGGGACUAAGCUGUCUCCCCUUGGCACAGGCUUUAAACAAGGAGCUGUGCAAAACCAGGCUUUGUUGUGAGAAUGAAUACACCACUCUUACCUGUUCCCCUGAUGAUUCUCUUAUUCCUGAGGACAAUUUACCUUGUGACUGUGCUGCUCCUUGGGAAAUUCUCCCCAGUACUCUUACCAACAUCCCCUUACAGAUCAGGGAACCAGCAACAGUGACUAUGUCGUAAAUUUCAUCAGUCUCCAGCUGUCUUGUUUUAGGAUCUUCUGUCCUCAAAGCCUUUUCCUAUCAGAUACAUGGAUUCUUUGUAAUCUCUGCUGAAUGGAGCAUUUCUGUAUACUGAAAAAAAAAAAAAAAAAAAAAAAAAGGAAUAUUUCCACCUGUAUAUCACUAUUAAAUUCAGUGGUUCAUGUGGAGAUGUAGCUGUAGAUGUCCCUGUUCAUUGCAGGGGAGUUGGACUAGAUGAGCUUUAAAGGUCUCCUCCAACUCCAGCAAUUCUAUGAUGAUAACUCUUUGAUGAUUCUAUGAGAUCAUGACAGUCAACUUGUAAAGAUCUUCAGGGUCUGCCUAUAAGGAAUAUGUCAUGCAAGUGCCUCUGCUUACUGCCAUUUCCCAGGGUUAAACAAUAUCUAUCUGGAUACAUACCCUUACUCUUUCCUCCAGACAUACCUCUGGCUCCGUAGCAGUGCCCUGGGGAAGCUCAGACCAUUCUGCAAGUGCUGAUGGUGUGAAUACACAUAGGAUUAAGGCUGCUAGCUACGGCAUGUCACUUCUGCCUGCAGCUUACUAAAGCAAAAAAGUCUUGUGGCUGACAUGUCCUCCACGUCACUGGCUUACAUGACACAUGCCAGAGAAUGUGUCAACCUUCUCCCCAUCUCCUCAGCAUUAUUAGCCCAGGGAAGGAAAUGCAGCCAAAGAACUCACAUGCAACUUUGACAGGUUCUGCCUAAUCCACCCACAUAAUGACCUUUCUUAUGCUAAGUGCCAGAGCGGUGCAAGGAGACCACUGCCUGUAUCAGCUGCUGGCAAGUCAAAGUUAGUUUCAUGGUUAUGUUUAAGAGAGAGCCUGACUUUACGUUAAGAAGUCUUUGUCUCCCGCAGUGCAGCGCUCAGAGAAUGACAUCAAAAGCCUUCCUAAUUCACACACCCGGGUCAUUUGAUUGUAGGCAAGGCACAGAGCCGUGCUGCCCCAGCAGCCCGUGAGCCACAAUGACAUCCAUGACUAUCCUCUUAUUCCAUGGAAGGAAGUAACGUGCUCGGAGCAUAACACAACCAACAGUAGAUUACAUCCUUCCUCAUGUCAGCUUAGCCCUGCUGGCUGCUGGGGGAGGCACUGGCAAGUCUAACACAGCCUCCCACUUCCCAGUUUCACUCCUCCCCACCCCAUCCUCAGGGAGCUGGGCCUCCCCAAGCUGGGACAUGCCAUGUGGGCAACCACACGAGAGGAUUCUGCUCCAGCAGACAAGGAAGAGGACGUUCCCACUCUUCUCCAGUGUGGCAGCUACACCACAUGCUGAAACAUCAGACCCUCCUCCACCAGGACGAGCGUAACUGAUCACGGAGAUGUAUCUUCUCCUCCCUUGGCAUGUGUCUGUGCAAUCAGUCUAUCUGUUUUUGAUUUAUUUAUUUUCAGGCUGCCUUCUGCACCCUUUCUCGGGUACGUGGGGCACACCACAGACUUGCCCUUGAAGUACACAGAAAUAAAAUCAGAAACAGACUAACCACAUGAACCAAUACAAAGGGACACAAAACACAUGACUGGAUGCUGCAGUUCAUCAGAGAUCCAUCUGUCUUCGGAUGUGAUAUAACAGCAGUCAUGUACCACAUUUGCAAAGGAGGCAACACAUCCCUCCUCAUAACCUGCCUUGUAAGGUGAAACUCUGAUAGCUCAGAGAAGCCAAGGCAAUACUAAAAAUCAUUUCAAAACAAGAUACAGAAAUCUGGUCUGUAUUCACAAAGCUAAAGCAAUAGCUUCCUAUUCUGAAGUGUCUACUGUCAGUGCUAUUGUUGCUUUCUGGAAUUUAGGCUUGAAUUUGACAGAAGUUGGGAUGCAAAGACAAACGCAGAACCGCUUGUGAGAAUCAGCGUAUCUGUGGGCAUGGGCCAGUCCUUUCCUGAGCAAAUCCCUGCCACCAAGAGCUGCUGGUAAAGGAGUAACACAGAUGGCAGUCAGACCUUGCUGUGUAGGUUCAUACCUCCAAGGCGAGGCUGUUUAAGAAUACAAUUCACCAUUCUUCCUGCAAAUAGACAGUACAGCAUAAUGAACCAUACCUCCUAGUGCCAUUAAAAUGCAUGUAUUAUAUUCUGUAACUGUUUCUUGUUUGAGUCCCAGAAGCAGUGUUGUUGCCUGGGAGGGAGUAUCAAAACAUUAAUCAAAAAUAGAUGUGCAGUACAAGAAAUGAGGGCCAAGCAGAUGAGUAUAUAUAGCUUCCUGCAUACUGAGAAUGUAGGAGCUGUCUGAAAACACUGUGAUUAGAGUCAAUGUGCUUGAUACAGCACCACAGACAUUGUACACAGCUGUCAAUCCUAUACUGAACAUCUUAUUUUAUACCCUGUGGUUCUGCAGCCCCUCAUCAGGUGAAUGAUGCAAAGAUGCCAUUCAUGUGGCAGAACAGACAAUGGAGAAACUCUCCAGACAGAACCCUCUACUUGUUUCUGGUUAGGAAGAAUAAUUUUUUCCUUCUUUUAGCAUCAACAGAAAUACAGAUGCAAAAGCAAGACCUGGAUAAAUGAGACAAGUAUUGUUCCUUCAAGCAGAAUGUCCUGACUUCAAGACAGAAACUUUCUUACUGCCCUACAUCAUUGCCAUGGAUUUCUUUAUUUCACUGUGUGGGAAACUCAUCCUCUACCAGCCUGAUUCACGGAGAUAAGUACCACAUUGCUUAUUUGCUUUCCCAUGAAGUUUAUCAGCUAAGUUUUCAUGAGUUGAGAAAAUCACUUGACAGAUGCAACCAGGUUGCUUUUCGGAAAAAAAAAAAAUAAUAAUUUAGUUUUCUACAAAUUUUUUUCUGGGUCUUAUUGACAUGAGUUUAAACUUUUCUACAACAAGUGAGACAGAGGGAUCUACCCAAUCAAAUCCAAUCACAUCUCUCCUUUGUCUGGUUUGGAAUACAGAUAUAGUAACGUGGAUGCCACAUGAACAUCUUAGCUGCUGGCUGUUUUGCACUUUCUCUGCCUCUCUCCAAAUCUCUUUCCCCGUUUUCUGCUAAUCUGUGAUCUCUCCCCACUCUCAUCUACUCUGCUAGCCUAGCUCUCUAAGCAGAGCUCUUCAAAAAACCCUGACCAGCUCUGUGGAUCUGUAGAGUGAUGAGGCAGAUCUGGCUGUCAGAGGACUAUUUGUCACAGGUACUGAAGUUAGUUUGGAGUCAAAUUAGUUUCUCAUAUUUGAGAAACUAUGGAUAUUUGGAAUGGGUUGCCAACCUACCUCAACAAAAGUUAACUCUCAUUUGCUGGGAGCCUGAGGAGAUGGUGCCAGUAACAUCGCAAGGUUCACAAAUACAACACAACUUGUCAUAACAAGUUCCUCUGGCAACAUCUGUUAGCAGCCCACAGAACUAUGUAGCACUUAAGCCAGAUAUAGCCAUAAUAUAUUUUUUUGCACUGAGCCGUAGCUAUUUGUACCUUUCCCAGACAUCAACAUACAUUAUUUGCUGCUGGCCUCAGAAAACCCCACCAUUUCUUUCAGAGAAUAUUUGCAUUUCUCUGGCAUUAGUCUACAAUGCCAUGCCAGGUACAUCUCAGGAACAGCCUUUUCUGUAGACAUCAAACUCAGAUUUGUAUCAAAUUCUUUCAGACACUCCUGUCAAUUUUUAGCCAGCAUCAGAGACUGGUUCCAGACAUCAUUGCUUCUAAAUCAAUGAAGCUAAUUUCUUACAUGAUCUCCUCCCAUUUUCACCAUCACUCCAAAUCCUUAAUAGCACUGCAACUAGGUUCACAUACUGUAUCCAACAUUGGGCAUGUUGAUCUGGCACCACCAGACAAGACUAUAUAAAUGUAAUUUUGGCUUCUGAGCACAUCAGUAUUACCAUUUCAGUGCUUUAUCACUGCUGAUAGAUUUAGAGAUUAAUCAAAUCUCAUUCAAGUAGUGAGGUAAUAUCAACAUGACUAGACUACCACGAAUGUUGUUUGUAAAGAGGGGAAGAUGGAGGAAUUCUGUCCUGUGUGCCAUCAGCAUCUUGUUGCAAGUCAGAAUUCUUUUAUGCUUUUGGCAUUCUGGAACAGUCAUGGAUGAAAGAGGUAAGUGCAAAGACAACUUCUACAGUGAAAAUUACUUGUGAAUAUUUCUUUUGGAAGAAGGGAGCUGUCUAUUGAGAGAAAAGAAUCAAAGGAAGUUAAUGCAUGCCACAGAUGUGCCAUGCCCUUCCUCUGGCUUUAAUAAGCUCGGUGGGUUUUUCCACUGAAACAGCAAGGGAUUUUCCUAUCAGAGAGUAACAGAUAUCAGUAGAUCUCCCACCAUAUCUAGACAUUGCAUCUCUUCCAAUUUAAAUGCUACAUCAGUGGUUAUUAAGACUGCAUUGCAAAGAAAUAAAACUAGGGAAAACAUUCUGGAGGGUGCUCUGGAUUCUAUUAAAGGAUUGAAUUUCUCACUAUAUUACACUUUUUCCAUAUGGCUGAAAUCUGGAGCUGCAUAGUACUGUGAAUAUGCUCAUAUACUGCUAGUGGCAUAAUCCCAGAUGGUGACAAAUGACCCAGUUCCAACAGCAAUGUAUAGAUUUUUAAGACACUGACAUUCAGCUGUGCUCUUGGGAUAUUCCUUCCAAACAAUGAACCACUGGCAGAUAACACAGUUUAACUUCUGCCUUCAGUUUUAUACGUAUUUUAUGGCUAACACUGCUGAGUUACUUCUUUGUUAAGUACUCAGCCUUGUAAUAGUGUACAGAUGACAUGAGAUAUUCCCUUACCACCAGCAAACAAUCUCCUUUGGUCCACGGAGGUCAGCUGUGGAGCAGGCAGUGUGUCGCUAUCUGUGUGUAAGGAUAUGCUCUGGCAUGCUUGAAGUGAGCUGAUAACGUCUUACCCCUGCUUAGGCCCUUCAGCUGCCUCUUGGGGAAGUGAGAAAGGCUGCCAAGCUCAAGAUGUGCUGCAUCCUGCAAUUUGGCUUUACUGAGAAGUACAACCCCUCCCCCAAACUCACCCACGCACUUCUUCACCCCAAGAAGAGGUCAUCACACAAAAAGGAGAUAGGAGGGAAAGAGACUGCACACUUGACUAUAGCUGCAAAAGAGAAAAGUCUAGAGCCCUCUUGAGAUGUUGUGUAAAGAGAAAGCAAUCUGGGCUGUCUCCAUUUUUACAGAAAGACCUCUGUGCUCCUGCGGACUUCGUGGCCUGCCAGAUGGAGACAGCUCCAAGUAACACUGAGCUCUUAUUGCUGCAGAAAACCAAGGAGAACUAUAACCCCAAAUACUGCAGGUGUAGGAGGGAAUGCUUGCUCAGAUGAUGAUUCAUGUCAGCAUCUGAAUAAAUAAGGUCAGACAGCCAGAGAUUAUUCCAGUGAAAGGGAGUUGAUUUGUUUGGGGGGCAGAAAGGAGUGGCUUUUUGUUUCAUAUCAUUAUAACGAAAACCUGCCCUGAUCUGAAUUUUUUUCAAGAAGUAGCUCUCACCUAUUUUAAUUAAGACCUCAGUUCAGCAAAACAUUUAACUGCUGUAACCUACCUGUACUGGAAUUGUUGUACCAAAUGCAGAAAUCCUAAGGUUAGCAUAUGCAGUAUAGUCAGAUUUAGGUAGCAUUUAUAUACUUAUCCACAACAGUUUGAAGGAACACAUCACCACUACAGACCAUCAGAAACAAAAAACUACUUGCCUCAAAGGGGUGAGAAAGGAUUAAUUAGUUAGUGCUCGUGCAGCACUGCAAAGACACAAAUUGUGGGACUGUGUUACUAGCAGGAAAAAGAUGCCAACAGGAAGCAGCAUUGUUAAAGGCACGAGGACAAACAAUGGCUUUGUUCUCAGAUUUGUAAAUGAUUCUUCUGCUAUUGAAAGGUGUUGGCCUUUCAGUCUAGGAGACUGAAAUCCUCUUUCUUCACCCAAAAGAGCCUUCACAGGCUGUGCAUACUUUCUCACACUCUCUCACCCGCGUUCCUCACUAUUAGCUUAUAGAUGCUAGACAGUAGUCCAUUCUCCAUAGCCCUUUUAUUGCUUGGCCUCUGCUUCAACUGCCAAGAAGGGUGCCAUUUAGACUCAAUUGUUACGGUAGCUUUUACGAUCUAGACAUGGUGUCUAGGAUCAGAGACUUCCUAGCAAUUCUGUAUAUGCUGCUCCACUGCCAUCAGAGGAGAAUGGCUCCUGGCUGCCAACCAUGUCGGCAGAAUUCAAAGCAGUGACCUACAGAUGAAAGGCACCCCAUCCCCAAAUGGGCCAGCUGAGCCAUCCAGCCCCCAAAUGCCAGGUCCUCACUGAAUGAAACCAUAUUGUGAUGUGGUGCUCAGAAGGGGAAAAAAAAGACAAUUUUAAAAUAUCUGUGGACAAUGGCUUUCUAGAACUCGGGCUGCAGGCAUCCAGACCUCACUUACAUAAUAUUUCUAUCAUGCACCAUCCUCCUAUCCAACUCCCCACCCCAUGCCAAGGUGCUGGAGGGAGGUCCUGUUCUUAUUUAUGCAGCAUGAAUACAAAAUCAGAGAGAGCGGCAGAAACUUUCCAUGGAAAGGUAUGGUGCCUUUGGCAUGCUGAGGAAAACAGCAGAGCAAGAACAGCUUGUAAGUUAGGGGGAAGAGAAGGAUUAAAGAAAUUGGAAUAGCUACUUCCAAGCAUUUCCUCAAAAAAGAAAGAAGACUGGAGCCCUUUAAACCCAAGACUCACACAGAAAAAAAAAAA